AAGCUAUCAAGAGAAGCUAAGAGAACAGGCUCUAUGACGCUUCAGCAACCUGUCUUAGGAUAAGGUGCUCCAUCCUGCCCAAAGGAAAGAUAGGAG
rnacentral:ncRNA from 2 species